AAAAUCAUGAGAUACUUACUGAGAUUUCAGACUGUGAAGUGGUACCAUCAGUUGAUCUUUUGCUUCAUUCUGUGUUGUAUAUCUGGGAGCCUAGAUUUCAUCCUUUGAUACGUGAGCAACUAGUACCAGUUGUUGGUGAUUUCCCUUCACACUUACAGCUUUAUGCGUAUGCAUUUGUUGACAACAAGUUUAGAGAUUCCAUGUAUUAUACUGCUGUAGAGCAAAUACGCUUGCACAAAGAGUUUGACAAUUAUUUGUCCUCUGGUGAACUGGAUCAUUCUAUGGAUGAGUUUAUUUCUUCAAAGGAUGAAUUUGUAGAAGAUCUCAUUAGAGACGAGAGCACGAUGGGACAGUUUUCAGAUUUGAAUCAUGCUCUCUUGAAAUUGUCUUUGGAGAGGAGAGCUGAUGUUCUGGAAAAUCAGCAACAAAUUUGCAUAUAUUCAGAAUGUUUACGACGCCUCUUGGAGGAUGAGUCGGUAUGCAGUAUACAAUUUAUUAAUCAUCAUCAGAGUUCUCUUUUUAUCAAAGUAACCUUUAUUAUCUGUCCUCUACAUGCAGUUGCUUUAUUUGUUGUCAUCGUCAUUCAUAGGUGAAGUUAACAGUUUGCUGAAUCCUAUACUUGCCAAUAUUGCCAAAGUAGAA
rnacentral:lncRNA from 1 species